GGCCUAAUACAUGCAAGUCGAACGGUAACAUUGGUGCUUGCACCAGAUGACGAGUGGCGCACGGGUGCGUAACGCGUAUGCAACCUACCUUUUACUAGAGUAUAGCCCAGAGAAAUUUGGAUUAAUCCUCUAUAACAUCUUUUAAUUUCAUGAUUUUAAGAUUAAAGUUUUAACGGUAAAAGAUGGGCAUGCGUCCUAUUAGUUUGUAGGUGAGGUAACGGCUCACCUAGACUACGAUAGGUAGGGGCCCUGAGAGGGGGAUCCCCCACACUGGUACUGAGACACGGACCAGACUCCUACGGGAGGCAGCAGUAAGGAAUAUUGGACAAUGGACGAAAGUCUGAUCCAGCCAUGCCGCGUGCAGGAUGACAGCCCUACGGGUUGUAAACUGCUUUUAUACAGGAAGAAACACUCC
rnacentral:rRNA from 1 species